rfam:Stegodyphus mimosarum contig8356, whole genome shotgun sequence.
GCCUUCGUGGUGUAACGGCAGCGCACUCGGCUCGUAUUCGAGAGGUCCGGGUUCGAGUCCCGGAGACGGCA